GACCUCCGCUGCCCUGAGAGCGCAUCCAGCGCGGGCGGAGUCGGACGGACUCGGGCUUCACGCCUCGCGCGGGCACCUCUUCUCCCGGGCACUGCGGCCCAGUUCUUAGGGGAGGCAGAGUCCUUCCGGAGUUUGACCCUUGGAUUCCAUCCAGAGCAGCCUCCAAAAUGACACCUUUGAAGUUGUGUAUCGAGCUGGGAGAUGUAAAGGGAGGAGAAGAAAGAAGAUGAAGAGACACCAGCCAGCCUUGAGUGGACAUCCUGCCUGGUGAAACUGAACAAGACACUGACCGCAUGUGAGUGAAACAAGCCCUAGUUGCUGGGCUCCGACAAACAUGGG
rnacentral:lncRNA from 1 species